CGACUUCCGACCUCAUCAAUUUCAAAACAAUCAUCUGCUGAAUAAUUUAAAGUAAAAAAGGGUGGAAGGAAUGCCCGGUGAAUCGCUUUGUAUAUUUAUUGUGCGUGUAGUAUAAUGGUGCGUAUGUAAAUCGAUUUGUUUCUCAAUUUAUCGGGCCGAUUUAUGUGGUGAAAACAAAACUCCGAUUAUUGUAUAAUAUUAUAAUAUGAGAGGAUUGUGUUGUCAUUUCACGCCGACAAGUUGUGGACAAGGUACUAAACACACACACACACCAAUGUUGUUGGGACAUUUGUCAACAAUUACGUGGCGGUCAACGUGCAUCUGAUGCAUACAGAGCGUUUCACGUCAAGUCGGACGGACACGCAUAACAUUAUUAUAUAUUAUGUAUACAUUCAAUUAUCUAUACAGGGUCUUACUUAAAUAAUUUGAAAAAAUAAAAAGUGCACGUCUGCUGUCACCGCAAAACGCUGUUCGUAUGACAUCAUUCCGCAUCCGUGUGAUAAAUGUACAGCUACAUACUACUCAUAUGAAAAAUAUUCAUCAUAUCUCAUAAAUAUUUAACCACCUCUCAUAUCGAAAUAUCGCAACAGAUGAUUGUCUCCGACGAUCAAGCUGGGCCAUCGGCUGAUGGUGAAAUGUACAGUGAGAUUGCAAUGGAAAGAGUUGAAAAUAUUGACUC